CAGGGGAUUGAGUUCAUGUAGAUGAGGUCACAGAGAAACAAAGAGAAGACUACUUCACCAUGACCAAUGAUAAGCCUGAGUCUUCCUGAACUCUUUGUGUCUCCUGCCCUAUUCUGAACAAUGACCUAAAUGCCUUACAAAUUGAUUCCUUGAGGAAGGGGUGGUGGAUCAGAUAACAUUUUGAGAUGCUACUUACUGCCAAAAUGAAGUUACAAAUAUCUGAUCGAGGGAAGAAUCCCCGAGAAAGUCACAGACCUAUUCAACAGGUGGACAGCUGCCAAGAUGAUUUCAAAACUCCAAAUCACGGUCCAUCUUGAAGCUCAUGUUAGCUCAGUAAAGAUUAUUCUCUUGAGAUGUCUUAUGGGGAGAAACAGAUGCCAGGAGAAAACCCAGAAUAUUUCUGGCCCUUUGCUGUGGUGAGCGUACAAGAAAGGAAGAGACAGCUUCGCGUUUUCUCAAUUUAUGAGAGCAC